rnacentral:rRNA from 1 species
UACGUAGGGGGGCUAGCGUUGUCCGGAAUCAUUGGGCGUAAAGAGCGUGUAGGCGGCCCGGUAAGUCCGCUGUGAAAGUCCAGGGCUCAACCCUCGAAUGCCGGUGGAUACUGUCGGGCUCGAGUGCGGGAGAGGCGAGUGGAAUUCCUGGUGUAGCGGUGAAAUGCGCAGAUAUCAAGGAGGAACACCGAUUGCGAAGGCAGCUCGCUGGAACGUUACUGACGCUGAGACGCGAAAGCGUGGGGAGCAAACAGG